UACGAAGGGGGCUAGCGUUGUUCGGAAUUACCGGGCGUAAAGCGCACGUAGGCGGACUAUUAAGUCAGGGGUGAAAUCCCGGGGCUCAACCCCGGAACUGCCUUUGAUACUGGUAGUCUCGAGUCCGGAAGAGGUGAGUGGAAUUCCUAGUGUAGAGGUGAAAUUCGUAGAUAUUAGGAAGAACACCGGUGGCGAAGGCGGCCCACUGGAUCGGUACUGACGCUGAGGUGCGAAAGCGUGGGGAGCAAACAGG
rnacentral:rRNA from 1 species